UUUAUUCGCUGAAUCAAUUUUUGAACGGGGAAACCAUUUUUUGGAUAGGUUAUCUAUCCUUGGGGUGAAUCUUACUUUUGUAAGAAGGGAUACUCUCAAUUCCUAAUCCGACAGCUAACCUCGUAAGCGUUA
rnacentral:sRNA from 1 species